GGGAGAGGGUGUAAAUCUCGCGCCGGGCCGUACCCAUAUCCGCAGCAGGUCUCCAAGGUGAACAGCCUCUGGCAUGUUGGAACAAUGUAGGUAAGGGAAGUCGGCAAGCCGGAUCCGUAGCUUCGGGAUAAGGAUUGGCUCUAAGGGCUGGGUCUGUCGGGCUGGGGCUCGAAGCGGGGCUGGGCCGCACACGAGGCACCGCUGGCCCCCCUCUCCCCCCGCCCCCCCGCCCCCCGCCUGGGCCCACCCCUGCGGCCCUUCCUCUCUGGCGCCCCGACCCAUGCAUGCGGCUUUUUCACCCCCACGUUGCCCUCCUCCCUCUCCCUGGGGAGGGGGGCCGGACGGGGGCGAGGUCAUGGCCAUAGCAGCGCUUCCCCCUCCUCCGCAUUGGGUCAGGGGGAGGUCCCCUGCGGGGCCCGGACACUUGGGGGGCCGUGGCUGCGGUGGUAGAGACUCUGGCCAUGAGCCGGGCCCUUCCCAUGGAUCGCCCCAGCUGCUGGUCGCGCCUGGGGUGAUGUCGGGUGUCCACCCCUCUUGCCUCUUGGCGCUCGCUGGUCUCUCCUGCCCCAGGCCGGGGUUCCGCACAGCGCCUCGCCUCGGCCGGCGCCUAGCAGCCGACUUAGAACUGGUGCGGACCAGGGGAUCCGAAUGUUUAAUUAAAACAAAGCAUCCUGAAGGCCCGCGGCGGGUGUUGACGCGAUGUGAUUUCUGCCCAGUGCUCUGAAUGUCAAAGUGAAGAAAUUCAAUGAAGCGCGGGUAAACGGAGGAGUAACUAUGACUCUCUUAAGGUAGCCAAAUGCCUCGUCAUCUAAUUAGUGACGCGCAUGAAUGGAUGAACGAGAUUCCCACUGUCCCUACCUACUAUCCAGCGAAACCACAGCCAAGGGAACGGGCUUGGCGGACUCAGCGGGGAAAGAAGACCCUGUUGAGCUUGACUCUGGUCUGGCAGGUGAGGAGACAGGAGAGGUGUAGAAUAAGUGGGAGGCCCCUGGCGCCCCUUCCCUGAGUCCCCACGAGGGGGCGGGGAGGGGGGCACGCCGGCCUUGAGGGCCGCCGGUGAAAUACCACUACUCUGAUGGUUUUUUCACUGACCCAGUGUGGCCCCUCGCCCUUCACACAAUGCACAUUCCUGGUGAACCUGGUGCUAAGCCAUUCGUAGACGACCUGCUUCUGCAUGGGGGUUUCCUACGUAGCAGAGCAGCUCCCUCGCUGUGAUCUAUUGAAAGUCAGCCCUCGACACAGAGUUUGUCUCCCUCCCGGCCUCUCUCUCCUUGCACACCAGGGUGGUAGCAAGGCGGUGUAGGGAGGGAGGGGCGGGGAUCCGAGGGGAAUGUGGCGAGCAUUAAUCACACAUUUCAAACCAGGUUGCCAGCUUCACGCAGCUCCUGCCACUGCUCCCCGGGCUCAUCCUCAGAGGAGCCCUGCCCGGACCCCUGAGCAGAGGCAGGAGGGAAAGUGCUAACUGCAUGGUGCCGAGUGCUUCAUCUCUUUUAGGUAAAGUCUAAAUAUGUUUCCAGUUUUUCAUAGCUGUUAACCCUUCCCGAGGAUGUUUUUCCAUUGGUUUUUUUUUUUAGAGAGAGAGCAGGGCAGGGAGAAACGGGGAGAGAAACAUCAAUGUGAGAGAGACACAUUGAUUGGUUGCCUCCUGCAUGCUCCCCGAUUAGGGCCAGGGAUCCAGCCUGAAACUGAGGUA
rnacentral:ncRNA from 1 species